CCAAUCUUUUAGCGAGCCUUGGCUUUGCCCAUGGUCUUGCAAAAAAACUCUGUAUUUAAAACCCGCUCAUAAAUUAAAUUAAAAAACAUAAUUUUUGUUAUGAUAAUUAAAGA
rnacentral:misc_RNA from 1 species